rnacentral:lncRNA from 1 species
AUUCAUUUUUACAGUCCAGUCUUUUCACCCUCCUCAUCCAUCCCCCAACAAUCGCUCCCUAUCCCAUACUACCGCAACCUGUCUCCAAGAGGAUGUCCCCACCUCCUACCCCUACUCCACCAGACCUCCCCACUUCCAAGGGCCUCAAGUCUCUCAAGGGUUAGGUGUACCUUCUCUCACUGAGGCCAGACCAGGCAGUUCUUUGCUGUAUAUGUCUCAGGGACCUCACAUCAUCUCGUGUAUGCUGCCUGGAUGGUGGCUCAGUGUCUGAGAGAACUCAGGGAUCCAGGUUAGUUGAGACUGCUGGUCUUCCUAUGGGGCCACCUUCCUCCUUAGCUUCUUCCAGCGUUUCCUCAAUUCAACCACUGGGGUCUCUGGCUUCUGUCCAUUGUUUGGGUGUAAAUAUCUGCAUCUGACUCAGCUAUUUGUUGGGCCUCUCAGAGGGCAGCUAUGCUAGGCUCCUAUCUGCAAGCACACCAUAGCAUCAGUAACAGUAUUAGGCCCCGGGGCCUCCCCUUGAGGAAGAUCCCAAUUUGGGCCUGUCACUGGACCUCCUUUCCCUCAGUCUCUUCUCCAUUUUUGUCCCUGAAGUUUCUUUAGACAGGAACAAUUCUGGGUCAGAGUUUUUGACUGUGGGAUGGCAACCUCAUCCCUCUACUUGGUGUCCUGACCUUCUAUUGGAGGUGGACUCUACAAGUUACCCCUCCCAGGUGUGGCCUUUCUUUAAAUAAGGACCUUUGAGAUUUUUUUUUUUUCAUGUUCUCAGUUUUCUUGGCUUAGUUGGGGCUUCUAAGGCACAAGCCUUCCUGACUUGAGGUUUGAACUCUAACUAUAAGUUUUAACCAAUUUUAACUUUUUUUCUUUGAAAGUAUGAACCCUCCUUUUUCUGCUCUUGCAAAUAAUGAAGAGGUCUUGGGCCAUGAUUCUUAUAGAGUAGAAAUGACAGGAAGACAAAAGAAAAGAGACAAGGAUUGAUAGGGCUGAGAGGUAAAAGUUUUGCCUUGCAGGCCUGGAGACCCGAGUUCUAUCCCUGGAACCAACCAUAGAAGAGAAGAGGAAACAAACUCACGGAAACAGACUCACAGAUACACUGAGCCCUUUUCAGGAUUUGGGUGAAGACUUCGGCAGAUCUAACCUCCCCAGAUUACUGAUGAUCCUGAAAACAGCCAGCCAUGUGCUUCUGCGAAUUAGGUCUUAGAAGCCAAGGGUAGUGGAUUGGGGCUGAACUUAGGGCUCAGUAGGACUGAGUGUCUACGUGGUUCUCCUCUUUGUGUUACAUCCAUAGGUGAGUUCUUAGAAGUCUC